CCUACGGGAGGCAGCAGUGAGGAAUAUUGGUCAAUGGACGCAAGUCUGAACCAGCCAUGCCGCGUGCAGGAAGACGGCUCUAUGAGUUGUAAACUGCUUUUGUACGAGGGUAAACGCAGAUACGCGUAUCUGUCUGAAAGUAACGUACGAAUAAGGAUCGGCUAACUCCGUGCCAGCAGCCGCGGUAAUACGGAGGAUUCAAGCUUUAUCCGGAUUUAUUGGGCUUAAAGGGUGCGUAGGCGGUCGGCUAAGUUAGAGGUGAAAUCCCGAGGCUCAACGUCGGAAUUGCCUCUGCUACUGUUCGGCUAGAGUGUAUUUGCGCUAGGCGGAAUGUCUUGUGUAGCGG
rnacentral:rRNA from 1 species